UACGGAGGGUGCGAGCGUUGUCCGGAAUCACUGGGCGUAAAGGGCGCGUAGGCGGCUCAUGAAGGCUGUGGUGAAAGUCCGGGGCUCAACCUCGGAUCGGCCGUGGCGACUCGUGGGCUGGAGCACUGUAGAGGCGGGUGGAAUUCCGGGUGUAGCGGUGGAAUGCGUAGAGAUCCGGAAGAACACCAGUGGCGAAGGCGGCCCGCUGGGCAGUGGCUGACGCUGAGGCGCGAUAGCGUGGGGAGCAAACAGG
rnacentral:rRNA from 1 species